AUUGCCUAAUGUUUAAAAUAAAUAAAAUUACUGUAUUAAUAGUCUCAAACAUGUGAUUUAAAAUAACUGAAGUGAAGAUGUCAUAUUAAGCAUGUUUCUGAAGUUUCAGAAGAGAGAAAUGGUACUCUGAAACACAUGCACUCUAUUUUUGUUCUUAAUCAUACAAAACACCAUUUAUAUAUUUCAGUUGAAGCCUUAAAAGAUUAACACACUGGAUUAAACUUACUUUAAGAGAGACUAUUUUUGCCAUAGCCUCCCCAGGAAAUUUUUUUUUUGAGACAGAGUUUUGCUCUUGUUACCCAGGCUGGAGUGCAAUGGCAGGAUCUCAGCUCACAGCAACCUCUGCCUCCUGGGCUCAAGCAAUUCUCCUGCCUCAGCCUCCCAAGUAGCUGGGACUACAGGUGCGUGCCACCAUGCUCAGCUAAUUUUUGUAUUUUUAGUAGAGACGGGGUUUCACCAUGUUGUCCAGGAUGGUCUCAAUCUCUUGACCUCGUGAUCCACCCGCCCCGGCCUCCCAAAGUGCUGGGAUUACAGGCGUGAGGGCCUGGCCAGGAAAUAUUGUAUUUUUGUUUUGGGAUGGAGUCUCGCUCUGCUGCCCAGGCUGGAGUACAGUGGCAUGAUUCUCCGGCCUCAGCCUCCCAAGUAGCUGGGACUACAGGUGCACGCCACCAUGCUCAGCUAAUUUUUAUAUUUUUAGUAGAGACGGGGUUUCACCAUGUUGACCAGGAUGGUCUCAAUCCUUGACCUCGUGAUCCACCCGCCUCGGCCUCCCAAAGUGCUGGGAUUACAGGCGUGAGGCCUGGCCAGGAAAUAUUUUAUUUUUGUUUUGAGACGGAGUCUCGCUCUGCUGCCCAGGCUGGAGUACAGUGGCAUGAUCUCAGCUCACUGCAACUUCCACCUCCUGGGUUCAAGUGAUUCUCCUGCCUCAGUCUUUUAAGUAGCUGGGACUACAGGCAUAUGCCACCAUGUCUGGCUAAAUUUUUUUGUAUUUUUAGUAGUGACAGGGUUUCAUCAUGUUGGCUAGGCUGGUCUCGAACUCCUGAUCUCAGGUGAUCCCGACAGCCUCAGCCUCCCAAAGUAUUGGAAUUACAGGUGUGAGCCACUGUGCCUUGCCUUUGUUUUUUUUUUUUUGGGACAGGGUCUCAGUCACCCAGGCUGGAGUACAGUGGAGCAAUCGUGGUUUACUGCAGCCUUACCCUCCUGGACUCAAGGGGUUCUCCCACCUUAGCCUCCCCAGGACCUGGAACUACAGAUGUUGCUCACUGAAGAUCUUGUAUUUCAACCCAAAUUGAAGGCCACUUAGGUUUCUCUGAUAUUCCUGUGAAGCCUUAGCAUGUUUUUAUUUCAUAAUAAAUUGCUGAAUAUAAAAUGAGAGAAAUGGAAAAGGGAAUUUAAACAUUCUAAAAGAAUGCUGAGAUUAUAACUAUAACCAAAUGAAUGUACUUACCCGUUUUGAUACAGUGUAUGGUGAAGGAAUCUUUGAAAAAGUAAAGCUGCAUGCUGAAUAUACCUAGAUAUAUAUAUAAAAAAAGACUGUAUUGAUCAAUUUUACACUUACAAGAACAUCAAAGUGAUUCAUGAAUAUAUUGGAAGAAUAAAAAACCAGUUGGCAUAUACAAGUCAUUAUUCUAUAGGCAGUGGAUUAAUGAGCUGGCAACUGAGAAGCUGGAGGUCUUAUCUUGGGCUUUCUCUGCUACUAACUGUGUAUGACUCAGGGCAAAUCACAAUUUUUCCAGGCUGUGGCUUCUGCAUACGAAAAAUGAAGGGGUGGCAGCAGCUCCCAAUUGCUUUAAUCACUAAAAAUCUAUUCAAAUUGAGUUGCUUAUGUAGAGCCAAACAAAUCUAUAUGGAAGAAAAUUACAAUGACCUUCCUAGCUAGAUGAGAGCAGUAUGUUUCUAGGUAACUGAUUCGCUUUUACUAACUUCAAAAUCCUUUAAGUCAAUAAAAAUGUUAAACAGGCUAAGUAAGUUUUUAUUGCUUGCUUUAAAAUCAAAUGUACUGGCCAGGUAUGGAGGCUCAACACCAGUAAUCCCAGCACUUUGGGAGGCCGAGGUGGGUGGAUCACUUGAGGUCAGGAGUUUGAGACCAGCCUGGCCAACAUGGUGACCCCCAUCUCUACUAAGAAUACAAAAAUUAGCUGGGUGUGGUGGCAGCACCUGUAGUCCCAGCUACCCAGGAGGCUGAGGCAGGAGAACUGCUUUAGCAGCAGAGGCUGUAACGGACUGAGACUGCACCACUGCACUCACUCCAGCCUGGGUGACAAAGCAAGACUCUGUCUCCAAAAAAAAAAAGAGAGAGAGAGAGAGAGAGAAAGAGAAGAGAAAAGAGAAGAGAAGAAAAGAAAAAAAGAAAGAAAGAAAGAAAGAAAGAAAGAAAGAAAGAAAUGUAUUAGUCCAACAUACUAUACUGCCGCAGGACUAAACUAUUACUAUGAAAAUAAAAAUGUUCUUUCGAAAUAAAAACAUUUCUUUUCGAAUGUAUUAUUUUCUACAGAAAGCA